GUCAAUUACUCUGUGAGAAUCAAUGAAACAUAUUUCGCCAAUGUCACUGUGCUAAAUGGCUCUGUCUUCCUCCGUGUGAUGGAGAAAGCCCAGAAAAUGAAUGAUACUAUAUUUGGGUAGUUUCACAAUGGAGGAGCGCUCAUGGGGGCCCUAUAUCACCUGUAUUCAGGGCCUAUGUGCCAACAAUAAUGACAGAACCUACUGGGAACUUCUGAGUGGAGGAGAACCGCUGAGCCAAGGAGCUGGUAGUUACGUUGUCCACAACGGAGAAAACUUGGAGGUUUGUUGGAGCAAAUACUAAUAAGCCUAAACUUUCCUCAGCUGCAUAAAAUCCAUUUGCAGUGGAGUUCCAUGUUGAUUGUCUUUAUGCCUUCUUCUUCAUUUAUCCCAGUAUGAAUAGGAGAGUUAAUAACCUCCCCUUCUCUCUCUACAUGUUCAAUAAAAGUUGUUAAAAGAUUAACAACUAUACAAAAAGA
rnacentral:sRNA from 1 species